GAGAUGAGAAUGUGCCUUCGGGAACCGUGAGACAGGUGCUGCAUGGCUGUCGUCAGCUCGUGUUGUGAAAUGUUGGGUUAAGUCCCGCAACGAGCGCAACCCUUAUCCUUUGUUGCCAGCGGUCCGGCCGGGAACUCAAAGGAGACUGCCAGUGAUAAACUGGAGGAAGGUGGGGAUGACGUCAAGUCAUCAUGGCCCUUACGACCAGGGCUACACACGUGCUACAAUGGCGCAUACAAAGAGAAGCGACCUCGCGAGAGCAAGCGGACCUCAUAAAGUGCGUCGUAGUCCGGAUUGGAGUCUGCAACUCGACUCCAUGAAGUCGGAAUCGCUAGUAAUCGUGGAUCAGAAUGCCACGGUGAAUACGUUCCCGGGCCUUGUACACACCGCCCGUCACACCAUGGGAGUGGGUUGCAAAAGAAGUAGGUAGCUUAACCUUCGGGAGGGCGCUUACCACUUUGUGAUUCAUGACUGGGGUGAAGUCGUAACAAGGUAACCGUAGGGGAACCUGCGGUUGGAUCACCUCCUU
rnacentral:rRNA from 1 species